UUAGAGUUUGAUCCUGGCUCAGAUUGAACGCUGGCGGCAUGCUUUACACAUGCAAGUCGAGCGGCAGCGUGAGGGCAACCUUGGCGGCGAGCGGCGGACGGGUGAGUAACACAUCGGAACGUAUCCCGUAGAGGGGGAUAGCCCGGCGAAAGCCGGAUUAAUACCGCAUAUGCUCUACGGAGGAAAGCGGGGGACUCGCAAGGGCCUCGCGCUAUGGGAGCGGCCGAUGGCCGAUUAGCUAGUUGGUGGGGUAAAGGCCUACCAAGGCGACGAUCGGUAGCUGGUCUGAGAGGAUGAUCAGCCACACUGGGACUGAGACACGGCCCAGACUCCUACGGGAGGCAGCAGUGGGGAAUUUUGGACAAUGGGGGCAACCCUGAUCCAGCCAUGCCGCGUGCGGGAAGAAGGCCUUCGGGUUGUAAACCGCUUUUAGUCGGGAAGAAAGGGUUCUCCCUAACAGGGAGGAUUUUUGACGGUACCGGCGGAAUAAGCACCGGCUAACUACGUGCCAGCAGCCGCGGUACGC
rnacentral:rRNA from 1 species